rnacentral:rRNA from 1 species
ACAAACGCUGGCGGCGUGCUUAACACAUGCAAGUCGAACGGAAAGGCCCUGCUUUUGUGGGGUGCUCGAGUGGCGAACGGGUGAGUAACACGUGAGUAACCUGCCCUUGACUUUGGGAUAACUUCAGGAAACUGGGGCUAAUACCGGAUAGGAGCUCCUGCUGCAUGGUGGGGGUUGGAAAGUUUCGGCGGUUGGGGAUGGACUCGCGGCUUAUCAGCUUGUUGGUGGGGUAGUGGCUUACCAAGGCUUUGACGGGUAGCCGGCCUGAGAGGGUGACCGGCCACAUUGGGACUGAGAUACGGCCCAGACUCCUACGGGAGGCAGCAGUGGGGAAUAUUGCACAAUGGGCGGAAGCCUGAUGCAGCAACGCCGCGUGCGGGAUGACGGCCUUCGGGUUGUAAACCGCUUUCGCCUGUGACGAAGCGUGAGUGACGGUAAUGGGUAAAGAAGCACCGGCUAACUACGUG